AGAGUUUGAUCCUGGCUCAGAACGAACGCUGGCGGCAUGCCUAACACAUGCAAGUCGAACGAAGCCUUCGGGCUUAGUGGCGCACGGGUGCGUAACACGUGGGAAUCUGCCCUUUGGUUCGGAAUAACAGUUAGAAAUGACUGCUAAUACCGGAUAAUGACGUAAGUCCAAAGAUUUAUCGCCGAAGGAUGAGCCCGCGUAGGAUUAGGUAGUUGGUGGGGUAAUGGCCCACCAAGCCGACGAUCCUUAGCUGGUCUGAGAGGAUGAUCAGCCACACUGGGACUGAGACACGGCCCAGACUCCUACGGGAGGCAGCAGUGGGGAAUAUUGGACAAUGGGCGAAAGCCUGAUCCAGCAAUGCCGCGUGAGUGAUGAAGGCCUUAGGGUUGUAAAGCUCUUUACCAGGGAUGAUAAUGACAGUACCUGGAGAAUAAGCUCCGGCUAACUCCGUG
rnacentral:rRNA from 1 species